AUGGAGACAGACACACUCCUGCUAUGGGUGCUGCUGCUCUGGGUUCCAGGUUCCACAGGUAACAUUGUGCUGACCCAAUCUCCAGCUUCUUUGGCUGUGUCUCUAGGGCAGAGGGCCACCAUAUCCUGCAGAGCCAGUGAAAGUGUUGAUAGUUAUGGCAAUAGUUUUAUGCACUGGUACCAGCAGAAACCAGGACAGCCACCCAAACUCCUCAUCUAUCUUGCAUCCAACCUAGAAUCUGGGGUCCCUGCCAGGUUCAGUGGCAGUGGGUCUAGGACAGACUUCACCCUCACCAUUGAUCCUGUGGAGGCUGAUGAUGCUGCAACCUAUUACUGUCAGCAAAAUAAUGAGGAUCCUCC